GUAGGGGGCAGCAGCUGCUUAUUUUUGAGAAGGAUUCAUGAAACUAUGAAAUCUUACAGCUGAAGUGGGUUUAUGCAAAUUCACCCUGUUAUUAAAAAAAGCCUCUUGCAGUUUGAAGUUUGUGUCACAAAACUGAAUCAAAGAGCAUGAUGAUUGGGCUGAGGGUCACUCAGUACUACAUCUUUGUUAUAAUGUUAACCAAAGGUGUCAGCAGUGAUGAGAUCAGACUGGACCAGUCACCUGCUGUUGUAAAGAGACCUGGAGAAACUGUGAAGAUCUCCUGUAAGAUAAAUGGAUAUUCAAUGACAAGCAACUACAUACACUGGAUCAGACAGAAACCAGGGAAAGCUCUGGAAUGGCUUGGCUGGAUGGAUACAGGCAAUAAUGAUGCAACACAUGCAGAGUCUGUGAAGAACCAGCUCACUUUAACAGAAGACGUCUCAGCAAGCACACAGUACUUAGAGGCCAAGAGUCUGAGGACAGAGGACACUGCGGUUUAUUACUGUGCCUGAAGUUCUACAGUGACUGGAGCUGAGGAAGCAGCUGUACAAAAACCAGACACAUUGUAACUGAACUAACUGAAGUUGCUUAACUUAUAAUUGUAACACAGAUGAACACAGUUUGUAUCUAUUUACUGCUCCAAUUAUCUAUAAAUAUACCUGGAUAUAACCCUAAAAUGGGCGUGGCCUAAACUAAUUAUCAGGAAUGAAAAUCUAGAUAAACCCUGUUUCUAUGCUCCUGGAAACACUUGAAAAAGCCACAGGUAGAGAUGGCAGCUCUGUCAGCAUGCUGUGUGACAUCCCAUUCCCAAUACACACUGUAAUACACUCAUCACUCAAAAAGUGCUCAUUGCAUAAAAAGUUGUUUACAAUGGCUACUGUAUGUAAUCUCAAACAAGUGGUGACACAACCCACAAAAAUUGCUAUGGAUAAUACAUCUAAAUCAACAUGCAUAGAUCAUAUUUUUACUAAUGUUCCUGAUUUAUGUUCACAAGCUGUUUCUGUGGGGGUAGGAUGUAGUGAUCAUAACCUGAUAGCAAUUUCAAUAAUGAUGAAAAUUCCUAAAUCUGGUGGAAGGAUCAUGUAUCGUAGAUCAUUUAAAAACUUUAAUCCCAGAUUGUUUGUUGAUGAGGUCAAUAACUCAAAUUGGUCUGCAGUUCUUCAGGAGGGGGAUGUAAAUGCUUCUCUUAACAUUUUUAUGGACACUUUUAGUAAAAUAGUUGAUAAAUAUGCACCUCUCCGGAAAAGAUCUAUAAAAAUCAACAGUGCUCCAUGGUUAGAUGAAGAGCUAAUGUCCCUCAUGAGGCAAAGGGACAAUGUCAAAGAUAUGGCCUUCAAAAUCAAAAUGUGAUGUAGACAGAGUACAUUAUCGCAAGUUGAGAAACAAAGCUACAAACUUAAAUAACAUAAAAAAGAAAGCAUAUUAUGGACAAAAAAUCUCAAAUUCUAGUAAUGAUAGCAAACAAUUGUGGAAAGUAUUACAGGAAUUGAUGUAUAAAAAAUCAAAUAAU